rnacentral:lncRNA from 1 species
UUCUGCAUUCCUCUCUAAUUUUUUCCUCACAAAGGCUUACUCCUACACUAUGUAACAGGUCAUAUAUCACUCACUCAUACACACGAAUUAGACUACAACUUUCAAAGAUCUUUCAUUUUUCUCCACCCUCAUUUUCAGUACAAAAGCUUCUGAAAUUCCAGUCCUAAAAGCUCUACAAAAAACUAAGAGAUAAAAGGUUCAAGACUUUUUUCUGAGUUUAAAUCUUGUGCUACAAGUUCUGGGUUUAUAGAUGUUGAGGUCAAAGAAGAGUCGCUAUUUUGUUGGAAUUGAAGUUCAGAUUGCUCCUUGUUUCCAUGUUGCUAUUUCACUACUAGUAGGUGCGUUUAUCCAUCUUGUUACUUUCUACUUGAACUAUAAAUAAAAUUAGAUUGUUUAUGAUAUACUCUUGCAAUUAUCCUAAUUUCAACAUGUUUAAUGUCUAAAUUUGUUGUGGUUUCAUACUUAUUAAUCCGUGCAAUUGUUGGAAUGUUAAAAUUAUGUGAGUUGUUUGUAGAAUGUUAAUAGGUGAUUUAACAACUGUUUGAAUGUCAUUCUGUUCUUUUUUUUUUCUUUACUUUCUUUCUGAAAUGUGCGUGAGUUUCAUUAUGUUUACUUCAUUGUGAAGUGAUGUAUGAAUUUGGUUCAUAUUUUCUUUCAAUUUGCUCAGCAUAGUAUUUUUAACAAGUGAGUAUAGCUUUGUAGUUAUUCUGUCACAAAGCUUUACAAGCCAAGAGGAUCAUGAGAUGUGGCGAUUACAGAGAACUAGUUGUUCAUUUGAAUAUGUAACUAGCUUAAAGCAUCAUCAUAAUAUGUAUCCUAUAAUAGAUUUUCAGAUGUAUGAAUCAAUUGUCAAUUGUAUUUAAAUCUAGCAUUAGUUCAGUUUGUUGAAAGUAUUUAAUCAUGGUUCAAUUGGUUUAGUAGAU